rnacentral:rRNA from 1 species
UACGGGGGGUGCGAGCGUUGUCCGGAUUCACUGGGCGUAAAGGGCGCGUAGGCGGCGCGGGAAGUCAUCGGUGAAAGUUCAGGGCUCAACUCUGAAUCGGCCGGUGAUACUCUCGUGCUCGAGCACUGUAGAGGCAGGUGGAAUUCCGGGUGUAGCGGUGGAAUGCGUAGAGAUCCGGAAGAACACCGGUGGCGAAGGCGGCCUGCUGGGCAGUAGCUGACGCUGAUGCGCGACAGCGUGGGGAGCAAACAGG